rfam:Picea glauca, whole genome shotgun sequence.
ACAUGACUACAUCAUAGCAUUAAUGCACUGGAUCCCAUUAGAACUCUACAGUUAAGCACGCUCAGGCUGGAGUAGUACUAGGAUUGGUGACCUCCGAGGAAGUCCUAGUGUUUUACAUGCC